UUAGAAGGCACUGAAUUAAUAUAAAAAGAUGGACGCGCAAGAGUUCGAAUGUCUAAUGAACUAGAGGAUAAUUCCAAGAAUUGGCUACUUUUCAAAUAUCAAAGCUGUCUUCUUUAUUGUAAGUUGAUAAAAAAGAUCCAAGCGAGGUAUCGAGGAAAAGCAAGGUGUGUACACGGAUGUGUGUGUAUUGGAAAACGAAGUGGUGCGUGAAAGUGGUCAAUAAGAAGGGCGAGAGUUUCCGAACGGAAGGAGGAAAAAGCCUGGCGUGACCGUUCGGCUCGAUAGUCUUUAAUUACUCUAUUGCGGCUUUCCGAGUUCGAAAGGAGUACGUUUAAAGUACGGCAAAAGUAUCCCACCAAUUACGUGAUAGCAAGCAGCAGGGGAAGUAAUAGACGACCAGAAGCACUAGUAGUAGCAGUAGUAGUAUUAAUAGUAGUAGUAACAGUGAUGGUGGCAGUGGUAAUGGUAAUUAUUGGUAUUGGUAGUGAUAUUGAUAGUGAUAAUUGUACUGGAACGAACGAUUCGAAGAUUUGAAGACGAUUUGAAGAUUCAGAAUUGGGAAAAGACGGAAAGUCGUGAAGAGAAUGAAAGGACAAUCUGUUAAUUGGAUGGUUGCAGAAGUAAAUUCCGGAGUACAUGAUAAAGACGAAAAGACGGAUAUUAAGGGUGAAUACAAGAACAGAGGACGAAAAGACGGAAGAAAAAGUUACACGAGCAAAGAGGAUUUGUACCGGAGGAAUAGAGACGGGAUAAAAAAAGGGUCAAGGCUAAGUGAAAUCAGAGAGGAAUAAUUGAAUAAAAGAGAGAAAAUGUGAUACAAUAUUCAGGAAAAUGACCCGAUUAGGGAAUGUGAAGCGAAGGUAUUCAUAGACAAUGUCGGAAGAAGCACUGACGAGCGGAAAAAGGGGGGAUGAAUAAUUUGGAUACGAUAGAGAGGAGAAUAAGUGAGAAAUAGGGCAACCUCGACCUAAAAUUUUACGCAUUGGAAGACAAAAUGGUAUUGCAUACAUAAUAUAUUCAACAAAUCAACGUCUCUUUUGUUUUACUAUGGCUUUAAUUAUGUAAAGAGCAUAUUUAACACUGACAGAAAAUGUACGAUCGUGUUAGUGAACAUUAUCAUUGGUAGAACGAUGGAAAAUGAGUGUAUGUUAAAAAUGAAAAAUGUUGAAAAGCAUUUGAUGGUGAGUGUUAUGUGUUAAGUUAGAAAUAAGAUUUACAAUUAAGUAGUAAAUAAGAAAUACGAUAAAAAAAGGGAGAUGUAAAGAGAGUUAACUACAAUGGGUACCGGCGAUUACGAGAGGUGGAAAUUACAGGCUUGGAUUAUGUAAACGUGCUCGUGAAAACGAUGCAAAUAAGUUAGCAGCCUUCAUAAUGCGAUAAAUGUACAAAAUCAGUGUACAUAUA